rnacentral:lncRNA from 1 species
AAUGAAGUAAAAAUACGGAGAGGAAAAAAAUAAAUCUCGCCAUAUAUUGCUUAAAGGUGCAUUCACUGAAGUGCAUCCUCACAAUUUAUUACGCAUUUAUUCUUCCUUUUUAUUAUUAUUAUCCUUCAGUAUAUUUUUACUGCAAUAGCUCCUAUUUUUUGAGGGCCUUUUGAAAAAACCUCUCCUUUAAAAAAAAAAAAAUAUAUAAUCUCAUAAUUUUUUUCUUGUAAUUCCAAAUAUUUCAUAAUAAUUUCUUCUCCUCUAAGAAAAACAGAAGAAAAUUAGAUAAAAGAGAAGAUACAGAUCAAAUUGGAACGGUUUGAUGUUUGAAUAGGCCUGAUUUACUCACAAGUUCGAACCAUAUUGUUAUAAGGCUAUUACUAACGUUACGUCAUAGAAAAACAAUUGCAUUACUGAUUACUCCGAUCAAUGGAAGUUUAAUUAUGAUUGUUUGCCGGGAUUUAAAGGAAGCUUUUCGUCUCUCUUUGUUACAUCCAUCCAGCGAGCACUAUAUACAUGGAGAGUUCACACUUUUUCUGGAAACACAUUAUGGCGAUGAGUAGUGAUUCGAUUAAUAAUUCGACCAAACGACUUCAUAUUUGGGAAUCUAUCUCAUGUAUUCAUGAGAAACGUUUGUUUGCCAAGAACAAUCCCUCUAUUCGUCUACUAGUCUCAGUUUUCCUAUUUCUUCGGAAAGAGUUCUAAGGUGGGUUUUGAGUAACUCUCACUAUCUUCACUUAGAUGCUAAUGUAAAAGAAGUGCAAACCUCGGAAUAGGGUUCCUUAGUGACUAAGGAACGAUUAAUGAAGAAAGUGAAGAUAUUUUAUCUUUAUGGAUUAUUUUUCAAGUGAAUGAGUGUAAAGUUCAUUCAUGAAUUACUCCUUGACACGUUGGGACGAAUGAUUAACAUAAGGAGAGUUCGAAAGAAUAUUUACUGGCAAUGAUAAUUUUUUUAUACUUCUUGGAAUUUUGCAUUAAUUAUUAUCAAAUGAAGCAUUAAAAUAUUACUUACAAAAAAUUGAAUUAUGACGUGUAUGCCUAAAUAAUAGGCAAUUUUAAAACAUACUGGAAUAAUUUGCAAUUAUUUAAUAUAUUAGGCUAUUCUUAUAUUCUCACUUAUAAGGAGCAAAAUAAAUAUUCAAUACUUUUC